rnacentral:rRNA from 1 species
GGCGAACGCUGGCGGCGUGCUUAACACAUGCAAGUCGAACGGAAAGGCCCUGCUUUUGUGGGGUGCUCGAGUGGCGAACGGGUGAGUAACACGUGAGUAACCUGCCCUUGACUUUGGGAUAACUUCAGGAAACUGGGGCUAAUACCGGAUAGGAGCUCCUACUGCAUGGUGGGGGUUGGAAAGUUUCGGCGGUUGGGGAUGGACUCGCGGCUUAUCAGCUUGUUGGUGGGGUAGUGGCUUACCAAGGCUUUGACGGGUAGCCGGCCUGAGAGGGUGACCGGCCACAUUGGGACUGAGAUACGGCCCAGACUCCUACGGGAGGCAGCAGUGGGGAAUAUUGCACAAUGGGCGGAAGCCUGAUGCAGCAACGCCGCGUGCGGGAUGACGGCCUUCGGGUUGUAAACCGCUUUCGCCUGUGACGAAGCGUGAGUGACGGUAAUGGGUAAAGAAGCACCGGCUAACUACGUG